rnacentral:tRNA from 1 species
AUCCCCUCAGGGGUGGUACUGCGUCGGUUCAAUUCCGACUCAAGGAAAGAAUGGGCAUACCAUCGGUGGUUCGAAUCCACCGGGGGACA